ACGCUCGACACCUACGGAGGCAGCAGUGAGGAAUAUUGGUCAAUGGACGCAAGUCUGAACCAGCCAUGCCGCGUGCAGGAUGACGGCUCUAUGAGUUGUAAACUGCUUUUGUACGAGGGUAAACGCAGAUACGUGUAUCUGUCUGAAAGUAUCGUACGAAUAAGGAUCGGCUAACUCCGUGCCAGCGACGCCGGUAGGUAAUUCGUAGGACGGGCCGGGUCGUCGGAACGAACGGC
rnacentral:rRNA from 1 species